ensembl:lncRNA
AAUAAUGAUCUCUGACUGUGGGUUUGGGAUUUGACUUUUUUGUUCUUCAAGGACAUUCAUCCUGCUGCCAAGAACUGUCAAACAGGAGCAUCUCAGUAUAAAGAGGCUGCAGCUCGUUGCACAGACUAAGCAACCUAAUUGGACAACUUUAUAAGCUGAAGUUCACCUGGAAAUGUAAGAAGUGUAACAGUGCUGCGACAAAUGUUCUUGCACAUUUGGCUACAGAUGAGAUGAGAAAAGACACAUGCUUUAAAAGGCAUUAGGAAUUUGUUUUAUCCAAAAUAACCACCAUCUCAAAAGGUACAAACAUCUUGAGGCAUGUUAAUUAUUCACAAACACAUUUAAGUUGAUUAAACAAAAAGCAUCAUAAUGUUUGUCUGUCUUUGACCUUGGUUUAAAGGAAUAUUUUGGGUUCCAUGCAACCAAUCAAAAAAAAAAAAAAAAAGAUAAAUAAAUAAAAGCAUACAGGCUCUUACGAUCA